CCAGACUUAAACUGCUCAAAAUUAUAAGAAACCGAGUAUAAAAUGAUGUAAACCAGAGCAUAAUCUUUUAGAAGCAAAUUUAAACGAACCCGUCUGAUUUGGAUCAAAUCAGAUGUUUAUACCAAUCAAAUGAGAGAGAAAAGCUAACAAAAAAAGCUUCCUUCUCCUCUCCCUAUUGCCAACAGUCCCCUCCCCCUUUCUUUCUCUUUUUCGAUCAAACGACCAUAGUUUUCGGCAAUCUAGCAAUCUAAACCCAUCUACUUGACGAAAGGAGUUUUAUCCUAGCCUUGGUUCGCACGAUUAGAACUGUAAUCAUGAAGAAUCAGUUCUGGUAAUUUGUGAUACUAAUGCAUCGUUGCUUUUCGACGAAUUCAUGUCGUUUUCGGUGGCCCUUCAUGUCUAGAAUUGUUGUAAUCGACUUUGCAUCACCUCACGAGCAUUUUCCCUUCAUAAAUUUCGGCGACCAGCUCCGUCUUGUGAAUCUGUAAUGAUCAACGAUAAGGAGGGAGGUUGUCGAUAUGAUUCCAGCUAAAGGGCUUCUCAUCUCUGCAAAUUCAAGCCGGAAAUGGACUCUAGGAGAAAAUCUGAGCAAUCUAGUGGCGUUUUCCAGAAACCAAUUUUCCGGCCACCGUGCGCGGCGACCGGCAGUGACAAUCUGGUGACUAGACAAUGAGACCCUGGCGAGGCUUCUUAGAGACUGAAUUUUCGCUUUUCACGGUGAUCAAGAAUCUUUAAUCCGAUUUUUAAUCGUUGUGGCAUGCUACAUAUAUGCUUUGUUUGUGCCGAAUUAGAAUGAAGUGCAUCACCACUGGAUUUGUGAGGGCGAUCUAUGAUACUGUGGACCAUGUAUGGAGAGAUCGACAUCCCCGUGUGCAUCUGAUAAAAUCUAAUAUGGAAAAUCACAGGGUGACCUCCUGUUGAUAUAGAAAAGAAAAGAGAAUAUAAGAAAGAGAAAGAGAGAGAGCUGGUCAAGUGAGAUUGAGACCGGUCGGCCAUGUAAGGGGAUCGGUUUUUUUGUGCACACGUGAUGAGAGGGUGGGCCAUGUGUGAGGAUGGCUCAUUGAGGAUUUCAGUGACACCACUGACCAAUCUCCACUUGAUGUGAUUAUGUGAAUGUGUUAAUGUUUGUUAUUGUUGUUGCAAUGCCAUUUGUGUGGCGGACUGCAUGAUCAUAUAACUAGUCUAAUAACUAGAUUGACUUAUAUGCGCAUUUUUGUGAUUGUGUGGGAUGAGACGGUUAUCAAACCUUA